UUAAAUUUCUAAGAAAGAAAAAAGGAGUUAAUAUCAUUAAGAAGAUUUGUGCUUAUAUUUUGGUAAAACUUGGCACACUAUUCAAUAUUUUCUUAAGAAGCAAUUCAAUUACAAAAUAAAGAGCAUAAGUACCUAAAAGAACAAUGUAUCAAAAAUCAAUUUUUCUAGUUAUAAUACAGAUUUUUGUCAUAUGGCAUGAUUUUCUAUCUAAAAA
rnacentral:lncRNA from 1 species